rnacentral:rRNA from 1 species
GACGAACGCUGGCGGCGUGCUUAACACAUGCAAGUCGAACGGAAAGGCCCUGCUUUUGUGGGGUGCUCGAGUGGCGAACGGGUGAGUAACACGUGAGUAACCUGCCCUUGACUUUGGGAUAACUUCAGGAAACUGGGGCUAAUACCGGAUAGGAGCUCCUGCUGCAUGGUGGGGGUUGGAAAGUUUCGGCGGUUGGGGAUGGACUCGCGGCUUAUCAGCUUGUUGGUGUGGUAGUGGCUUACCAAGGCUUUGACGGGUAGCCGGCCUGAGAGGGUGACCGGCCACAUUGGGACUGAGAUACGGCCCAGACUCCUACGGGAGGAAGCAGUGGGGAAUAUUGCACAAUGGGCGGAAGACUGAUGCAGCAACGCCGCGUGCGGGAUGACGGCCUUCGGGUUGUAAACCGCUUUCGCCUGUGACGAAGCGUGAGUGAAGGUAAUGGGUAAAGAAGCACCGGCUAACUACGUG